rnacentral:rRNA from 1 species
CGCCUGUUUAACAAAAACAUUUCUUCCUAGAUAUAAGAGGAGGUAGGCUCUGUUCAAUGAGAUUUUUAAAUUGCCGCAAUAUUGAUUGUGCUAAGGUAGCGUAAUAAUUUUUUUUUUGAUUGAGAGGUGGUAUGAAAGAGUUAACAAGGUAUCUCCUGUGUUGAUGCUUAAUUAUAAUUUUUUUGGAAGGUAAAAAAACCUUUUAAUAUUAGAGGGACGAUAAGACCCUAAAAACUUUGUGAGCUAUCGGUGUUGGAAUUUAUUUGCUUAUUUAGCUGGGGCGGCUGUUAUUUUUAAACAAUAUCAGAGAGAACACGUUGGGUGGUUAUAAUAGUCUUAUUUUAAAUAAAAGGUAAAAGUUACUUUAGGGAUAACAGCGUUAUUGGGCUUGAGAGUUCGUAUUGAAGGCACCAGUUGCGACCUCGAUGUUGAAUUAAGUGUUCUUUUUAGGGCAGCGGCUAGAAGAGGAGAGUUUGUUCAACUCUUAAAUACUUACAUGAUCUGAGUACAGACCGG